GACGAACGCUGGCGGCGUGCUUAACACAUGCAAGUCGAACGAUGAAGCCUAGCUUGCUAGGUGGAUUAGUGGCGAACGGGUGAGUAAUACGUGAGUGACCUACCUUUGACUCUGGGAUAAGCCUGGGAAACUGGGUCUAAUACCGGAUACGACCAAUCUCCGCAUGGGGUGUUGGUGGAAAGCGUUAUGGAGUGGUUUUAGAUGGGCUCACGGCCUAUCAGCUUGUUGGUGAGGUAAUGGCUUACCAAGGCGACGACGGGUAGCCGGCCUGAGAGGGUGACCGGCCACACUGGGACUGAGACACGGCCCAGACUCCUACGGGAGGCAGCAGUGGGGAAUAUUGCACAAUGGGCGCAAGCCUGAUGCAGCGACGCCGCGUGAGGGAUGACGGCCUUCGGGUUGUAAACCUCUGUUAGCAUCGAAGAAG
rnacentral:rRNA from 1 species